CUUAACCACAUUUCCAUCUGCUAGCUGCAUAACAGGGGCAAUGCAGGUGCAUUCCUGCAUGCAUUGUCUCUCUCAUGAAGCCCUACAUCUCCAUCGUACCACUUGCAUACAUAAAAAAGCUUGGUAGACACUUGUGCACUGUAUGAGUCCGUUUUCAUGCUCCUGAUAAAGACAUACCCCAGACUGAGAAGAAAAAGAGGUUUAAUUGGACUUACAGUUCCACAUGGCUGGAGAGGCCUCAGAGACAUGGUGGGAGGCAAAAAGCACUUCUUACAUAGCGGCAACAGGAGAAAAUGAGGAAGAAGCAAAAGCGGAAACGCUGAUAAACCCAUCAGAUCAGGGCUUCUGCAGUACUAUGCUGAACAGAAGAGGUGAAGCUCUUUCUCUGUGAUGGACAGACUGCUAAAGCAUCGGUUAUCCC
rnacentral:lncRNA from 10 species